GAUGAACGCUGGCGGCGUGCCUAAUACAUGCAAGUCGAGCGAAUGGAUUGAGAGCUUGCUCUUAUGAAGUUAGCGGCGGACGGGUGAGUAACACGUGGGUAACCUGCCCAUAAGACUGGGAUAACUCCGGGAAACCGGGGCUAAUACCGGAUAACAUUUUGAACCGCAUGGUUCGAAAUUGAAAGGCGGCUUCGGCUGUCACUUAUGGAUGGACCCGCGUCGCAUUAGCUAGUUGGUGAGGUAACGGCUCACCAAGGCGACGAUGCGUAGCCGACCUGGGAGGGUGAUCGGGCACACUGGGACUGGGACACGGCCCCGACUCCUACGGGAGGCAGCAGUAGGGAAUCUUCCGCAAUGGACGAAAGUCUGACGGAGCAACGCCGCGUGAGUGAUGAAGGCUUUCGGGUCGUAAAACUCUGUUGUUAGGGAAGAACAAGUGCUAGUUGAAUAAGCUGGCACCUUGACGGUACCUAACCAGAAAGCCACGGCUAACUACGUGCCAGCAGCCGCAGUAA
rnacentral:rRNA from 1 species